rnacentral:lncRNA from 1 species
UACAGGUAUUUCCCUUUCUAAUUAACUCAUACUUUCCUAAUGUGCCAUAUAAUUCUAGCAAUCUCAAAAUCAGUAGUAACUAUCAAGUAGUAAAACUACAAAUGCAUAGCUCCAGUACUCAGACCACCCUGAAUAGAUGCACUUGCAGGUUGUUAUCAGCAACUGGAACACCACCCUCAGUGCAGAAGUCUUCAUAGUUGCCUGAAGUUAGAUCAAUGUCAUCGAAGGUGGAGCCAUGCACCUAGAAAAGUAUGUACAAUGGUGAUGAAACAUAAUGCAUUUAUGCUUAAUGUUUGCAUGUUAUAACUUUAUUGAUCUCAUCUGAAGGUCAAGCCCAUGUACAAGUGAUGUAUGGGUAGGACGUGAGAACACUUUGGAAAAGAAAUAUAGUUAAUUGCUUAUUAUUCUUAGUAAUUAUGUUGGUGAUACACAGUAAUGCAAUUCAUAACUGUGAAAGUUUUAAAUUAAGGACCGAUCUGAAUCAGCUUCAUAUUGAAUGAUGAAAGUGAACCAACAGUAAAAUUCAUUGCACAGGAGAAGAAAACACAAUAUAGCUCACAAAAAUUGAACUGUUUUUUAUUUUGAUUGAUAAAAGAGUUUACAGGGAAAUAUAAAGAAUGAUAGAGCUGUAUGGGUGCACAAUUACAUUUCCUGGGUUACAUGUGGAUACAAAACUCAGAAGUUAGCGGACUUCUCAGACCGUAUCAGGUAUGGCUAGCUGAUUUAGAACAAAAAUUUAAGAAAAUGUGUCAGUGAUGCAGGCCAUGAUCAAGCUCCAAUAAGGCAACACACUCAAUAUGAGGUAUGUGGGGGAAUAUGUCAGCUGGUUGCAAACUUCUCAGCUUGUAGCAUCCUUCUAUGUUUUUUUUCUACCUGCACAUAUUAUCUGCAACUAUGUCAAAGACUGAAAGUAGGAAGAGAAAAAUUAGAGGGGGUGGGACUGAAAUGAGGCUUACUUAUACUAACACAUACCACACCAUGACAAAGGUAAUCAAGGUCACGCGCACAUCAAGCAGGAUCGCAAGAUACCACACCAUGACAAAGGUAAUCAAGGUCACGCGCACAUGUAGCAGGAUUGCAUGAUACCUAAUUAAUGUGUUUGGCCCUUAACUUUAGUAGAUACUAGAUUAACUUCAUGUGAACGCCUGGUCGAUUGGGAUCUGCACGAGUUGUAUUAUGUUGCAAUAUAAUCAAGUCAAAAUCAGAAUAUAAAUGAACAUGAGCACAAACACAAAAGGAAGCAAAACCUGAAUUGACAAUAUCAGGCUUAGGAAAACUGAAAGUUCUGCUCCUCGUUCCUGGGCCAUCCUGAAUCUCGGCAAACAUGUAGUGAUAAAAACUUUACUCACAGCAAAGUUGUUUGUUGUAGUCCAAUAUUUUUGCAGAAUCAACUAUUGGGGAAAUUUUGACUUAACACCCCCCCCCC